CCCCCCUUCCAAAACUACUACCAAAUAUGUUCUCAUCUAUCUGUGCUACUACUGUAGCCACUUUCUGGUUACUUUAUCUAGUUAGCAAGUAUUUUAUGUGAAAUGGGAUGAGGUUAUCUGAAGAGAGAAAUGKUGCCCAUUGAAACUGGAUGAGAAAUUCAGACAAAAUGAGCUGGAUGCCCUUCAAGAUUGGACAACCAAAAAAGCAGAUUGUUUCCAAAACGGUUGAAAGAGACUUUGAACAAGAAUAUAACAAGCUCCAAAAAAUUUGGCAGUACGUUAAACCGGCUUCACAACCGCAGAC